rnacentral:rRNA from 1 species
UUUGUAGAAUGAACCGGCGAGUUACGAUUUGUUGCAAGGUUAAGCGGAAAAAGCGGAGCCGUAGCGAAAGCGAGUCUGAAUAGGGCGCAUAAGUAACAGGUCGUAGACCCGAAACCAGGUGAUCUACCCAUGUCCAGGAUGAAGGUAAGGUAAUACUUACUGGAGGUCCGAACCCACGCACGUUGAAAAGUGCGGGGAUGAGGUGUGGGUAGCGGAGAAAUUCCAAUCGAACUUGGAGAUAGCUGGUUCUCUCCGAAAUAGCUUUAGGGCUAGCCUCGAGGUAAAGAGUCAUGGAGGUAGAGCACUGUUUGGACUAGGGGCCCUUCUCGGGUUACCGAAUUCAGAUAAAC